UCUUAUCUCUCAUUGUCUCAUAGAGUUCUCCUCCUCUUAUUUUUUCUUCAAUUCUAAAGCUAGACCGAGAUCUGUAAAAUCAAACCAAGUUUCUGAAAUCAAAACUGGUCUCUCCUAAACCCUAAUCUCAUAAACUAAAUUCAAUCUUUCAGUACGUCAAAUUUAAUAAACCCUAGAAAUUGUUUCUUCUGCACUCUUAAAUAAUUCUGUAAGGUGUGCUUGGUUUUAACCUAAAUUUUCUUUCUCUAACGGUGAAAUAGUCAUAGAUCCUUUACCUUAGUCAGACUCUGUUUAUUUUCUUAUUUUUAUCUUUUAAAGCCCUAGAUUUACAAUUCUUUUUCCUAAUUGUUUCAUAAUCAAGAGAUUGAUAUAAUUCCAACUCAUAGCUUUCAAUAUUUGUUUUAGACUCUCACGCUGAGGUUAUCGAUUGCAGAUCCUAUUCAGAUUGGGUUUUCGGUUAACUUGCUUAAGUAAGAAAUUAGUCAAGAAAAUGAACACAUAUAAGUAAAAGACAGUAUUUCGAGCAAAAGAAACCAAUGGAGAUGACGAUGCUGAAGGAACUUAUGGGUCUGCUGAAUACCACCAGACACCUAAAUCAUUGGAUAUCUUAAGUUUGUUGAACUUGGCGGGAGAGGCCAAGGGGGGUAAUUCUGGCUGCAACAAUGGAUCAUAUGUACAAGAACGAGCGGCUACAGGACUUGCAACAUUUGUUGUCAUUUGACGAAAAUGCUACUGUUGACUGUGGAAGGGCUGAAACAGUCAUGCAUGAUGGUGGAAUACGCCUUCUACUGGACCUAGCAAAAUCUUGCCGUGAAGGUCUUCAGUCUGAAGCAUCCAAAGCUAUUGCAAACUUGUCGGUCAAUGUAAAAGUUGCGGAGGCUGUAGAUGGAGGAGGAAUAAAUAUCCUUGCUGAUUUGGCAAGGUCCAUGAAUAGAUUGGUCACAAAAUAAGCUGCUGCUGGACUUUGGAACCUCUCCGUGGGACAAUUGUAAAGUCACGGCUGAUAAUCAUCUGGACUUGCAUGUGAAAUUAAUGCGAUGGAAAUUGAGGGAGUAACUGUUUAUUAAGUGGCCUCUUCCUCAGAAAUCAGUCUAGUGCACAAUUAUUUGGUCCACGCCAGUACAUGUUUGUGUCUAAGAAUUUUUGUCUACUCCUCCCUCUACUAUAUGUUUAUAUCCGAUAUGUGCGGAGAAAUACUAUCAACUAUUGGAAUGUAGCGACGUACUUAUUCUGGUCUUAGCGUUAGGAAUGGUGCCCUCUGUUUAGGUUAAGAUUGAUAGUUUCAUGUUUGAACUGUGCUGAUAUCAAUGCGUAUAUCCGUCCCAAAUUGGAUGUUUUGGUGUAGUGUUUCUUAUAAAGAAGGCGCAAUUAGGGGAUACCUCCACAAAUUGGGGAUGCUCAAAGCUAAAUGAGGUUGUAUAUUGGUUAA